rnacentral:rRNA from 1 species
GACGAACGCUGGCGGCGUGCUUAACACAUGCAAGUCGAACGGAAAGGCCCUGCUUUUGUGGGGUGCUCGAGUGGCGAACGGGUGAGUAACACGUGAGUAACCUGCCCUUGACUUUGGGAUAACUUCAGGAAACUGGGGCUAAUACCGGAUAGGAGCUCCUGCUGCAUGGUGGGGGUUGGAAAGUUUCGGCGGUUGGGGAUGGACUCGCGGCUUAUCAGCUUGUUGGUGGGGUAGUGGCUUACCAAGGCUUUGACGGGUAGCCGGCCUGAGAGGGUGACCGGCCACAUUGGGACUGAGAGACGGCCCAGACUCCUACGGGAGGCAGCAGUGGAGAAUAUUGCACAAUGGGCGGAAGCGUGAUGCAGCAACGCCGGGUGCGGGAUGACGGCCUUUGGGUUGUAAACCGCUUUCGCCUGUGACGAAGCGUGAGUGACGGUAAUGGGUAAAGAAGCACCGGCUAACUACGUG